rnacentral:antisense_RNA from 1 species
AAUGACUUCCAGCUGGAGCAGCCCAGGCAGCCUGCGCGCUCACUCGCUUGCUUGCGCUGGGCUUCAGAGCGCUGGGAAUUUGCACUCUUCGUCUGUUAAAACGCGGUCAUUCUUUUGCUUUCAAAUCUAACUUUACGACAGUUAGCAACUUCAAGAACGCUUCCAAAUGGAUAAAUCUUUCCAGAACAUUUCUUGCUUCAAAACAGCUGCAUUUUUGGAAGAAAGUCCACAACUGACAACUAAGUAAAACCCUCCUGGUGGAUAGCAUAAAUCUGCUUUGUUGAAGCUGCUCAUUUGUCUGAUCUAUGAGUCUAGAAGAUGCAAACUCCCUUCUCAGCUUAUGCAAAAAUACUUCCAGUAAAAACAAGCCCUUUGGCCCCUUUCUUCUGUCAGUCCAGAUUUCAGCAUGUUCUUCGCUUUGUUAUUCAUAAUUUUAUGUAUUUGGACCCAUCCUCAAACAGACUUUAAACCCUUUAAAGGCAAGGAGGGACUCUUUCCUAAACCUUUAAUCCCCUGGCCCAGCUGAGUAGAUGCACAGUGUCUUAUGAUGAUGGUGAUACAGAAUGAUUAAUAACCACACAAGGCAUUCGGUUGGUCAAGUCACUGUUUAUUGGCUCAAAAUAAUCCUUGGCUUCUAUAUGUCUACAACUCACUUCCUAAACAGUUAAAUCCAGAGUCUAAUAGAUAAUAGUUCGUGAUCAUUAAUAUAAAUAACUAAUAUAUUAGAAUGUAGUCAAAAUAGGAAUACUUGCUUUUCACAUAUUUCCCAAGGGUCGCUGCUGGUGGUAGUCAACACAAUAAAAUAAAAAUCUGAACUCAUUUUGUUAUUCAUCUAAAUUGAGAAACUCGGUGAAACAUUGAUUUUCUAAAAUUGCUGCAUACUUAAAUGUGAUUGUAAUUGCUCUUUAGCAUUUUAAAAUUAUAACAUCGAUACCAAAUGCUUAAGAAUCUAAAGAAUAGUCUAUUGGGGCUGGCCUUUUUUGUGUAAAAUGGUCUGUAUCAUAAUGGAUGACUGAUUAUCCCAUCCACAUUAUCUGGAUUCACUUAAUACUAGGUUUUAACAUUAGGAGAAUAAAACUCUCAAGAAACCUAACAUAGAUUUGUAUAUUUAGUUUUCUCCUUCCUUAUCAUCUUCCACCAGACUUACAGGUGUUCCACCUGCUUGUAGUUUCGGUAAUAAUACCAGCUGCCUGUGGUUCCUAACUCUAGCUACACUUUAAAAUUACCUCGUGCGUUUAAAAAAAAAUGCAGUUGGCUAGGUUUGCGUUUAAAAAAAAAUGCAGUUGGCUAGGUUCCUCCCCUAGAUAUUUUAAUUUACAAGGUUUGGGAUGUGGCCUGGGCACCGAUUUUUUUAACUUUUUAUUUGAAUAUAGACUUACAGGAAGUUGCAAAGAUAGUACAGAGAGGUCUCAUAGAGCCUCCACUUUGCCUCCACUAUUGGUUACAUUCCGCAUAGGUAGAGCACAAUAAUAAAGCCAGGACAUUGACACUGAGAUAAAAUGUGCCUGUGAUUCUGUUACUUUAUCCCUGAAGACUCUUGUAAUCAUUAUCACAACCAAAAUCAAUACCACAAACUAUUUCAACACCACAAAGAUCUCUCUCAUACAGUCCCUUUAUGGUCGUCCCUUUCUUUCCCCCACACCAUCCCUAACCCUUGGCAACCAUUAGUCUGUUCUCUAUUUCUAUAAUUUUGUCGUUUGGGGAAUGUUUUAUAAAUUGAUCCUUACAGCUUGUGACCUUCUAAGAUUAGCUCCCCCUUCCACCCAACUCAGCAGAAUGCCCUUGAGAUUUAUCCAAGUUAUUGCAGGUAUUUCUAGUUUGUUCCUUUCUGUUACUGAGUUCUACACUAUGUGUGUAACACAGUUUGUUUAAUCAUUCAGCAUUCACCUAUCAUGUGACAUUUUGGUUCCUUCUGGUUUUUUUUGGGGGGGGGGGGAGGCUAUUACAAAUAAAACUGCUUUGAAAAAUUG